UACGGGGGGGGUAAGCGUUGUUCGGAAUUACUGGGCGUAAAGGGCGCGUAGGCGGCACGGCAAGUCAGGAGUGAAAGCCCUGGGCUCAACCCAGAAACUGCUUUUGAAACUGCCGAGCUAGAGUGCGGAAGGGGCAACUGGAAUUCCCAGUGUAGCGGUGAAAUGCGUAGAUAUUGGGAAGAACACCUGAGGCGAAGGCGGGUUGCUGGGCCGACACUGACGCUGAGGCGCGAAAGCCAGGGGAGCGAACGGG
rnacentral:rRNA from 1 species